rnacentral:rRNA from 1 species
AGAUUGAACGCUGGCGGCAUGCCUUACACAUGCAAGUCGAACGGCAGCACGGGAGCAAUCCUGGUGGCGAGUGGCGAACGGGUGAGUAAUACAUCGGAACGUGCCCGGUAGUGGGGGAUAACCCGGCGAAAGCCGGACUAAUACCGCAUACGACCUAAGGGUGAAAGCGGGGGAUCGCAAGACCUUGCGCUAUCGGAGCGGCCGAUGUCAGAUUAGCUUGUUGGUGGGGUAAAAGCCUACCAAGGCGACGAUCUGUAGCUGGUCUGAGAGGACGACCAGCCACACUGGGACUGAGACACGGCCCAGACUCCUACGGGAGGCAGCAGUGGGGAAUUUGGACAAUGGGCGCAAGCCUGAUCCAGCCAUGCCGCGUGCGGGAAGAAGGCCUGGGUUGUAAACGCUUUGUCAGGAAGAAACGCUCCGGCCAAGUACCCUGGAGUAAUGACGGUACCUGAAGAAUAAGCACCGGCUAACUACGUACGCCAGCAGCCGAC